GACGAACGCUGGCGGCGUGCCUAAUACAUGCAAGUCGAACGCAGUGGGGACGGGUGAGUAACACGUGGGUAACCUCCCAUCAGAGGGGAUAACACUUGGCAACAGGUGCUAAACCGAUACUGAUGGCUUGUACCGCGGGGCAUUAGCUAGUGGGUGAGGUAACGGCUCCCCAAGGCCACGAGGCAUAGCCGAACUGAGAGGGGGAUCUGCCACACUGGGACUGAGACACGGACCAGACUCCUACGGGAGGCAGAAGUAGGGAAGCUUCGGCAAUGGACGAAAGUCUGACCGAGCAACGCCGCGUGAGUGAAGAAGGUUUUCGGAUCGUAAAACUCUGUUGUUAGAGAAGCGGUAUCUAACCAGAAAGCCACGGCUAACUACGUGCCAGCAGCCGCGGUAAUUC
rnacentral:rRNA from 1 species